CGCUCCGUAGCUCAGUGAGGAAGAGCAGCUCCCCCAUAAGGAGCGUGUCGCAGGUUCGACUCCUGCCGGAGCGU
rnacentral:tRNA from 1 species